rnacentral:rRNA from 1 species
UACGUAGGGUGCAAGCGUUGUCCGGAAUUAUUGGGCGUAAAGAGCUCGUAGGCGGUUUGUCGCGUCUGCUGUGAAAUCUGGGGGCUCAACCCCCAGCCUGCAGUGGGUACGGGCAGACUAGAGUGGCGGUAGGGGAGAUUGGAAUUCCUGGUGUAGCGGUGGAAUGCGCAGAUAUCAGGAGGAACACCGAUGGCGAAGGCAGAUCUCUGGGCCGUAACUGACGCUGAGGAGCGAAAGCGUGGGGAGCAAACAGG